GAUUCCCUUAGUAACGGCGAGCGAAAAGGGAAUGGUCCAGCGCCAAGUCUUGAUACUUAGGUGUUCAAGAGAUGCGGCGUUAAUGUAUUGGCGCAUCGUACGUUGUUCCAUGUUUCAAGUUCCCUUGACUGGGACAUCCAGAGUGGGUGCCAGGCCCAUAGAGACAAGGAGCUGACGGACGCAGGCCGAUGCAUUUUAGAGUCAGGUUGCUUGAGAGUGCAGCUUAAAGUCGGUGGUAAACUCCAUCCAAGACUAAAUAUGACAGCGAGACCGAUAGCAAACAAGUACCGUGAGGGAAAGUUGCAAAGCACUUUGAAGAGAGAGUUCAACAGUACGUGAAACCACUGGGAGGCAAACAGAUGGAACCACGAAGUGUGCGCUCUGGUCGAUUCAAUCAACGUCAUUGAUUAGUGACGCUCGUCCGGGAUCUCUUCGGAGGUUGGAUUGGCGUUAUUCCGAUUGAUGACGUUGGUGCAUUUCGUGCCGGAGAUGCUAAGCCACGUUCGACUAGCUAGUUGGGACGGCCGUAGGACAGGGUUCGAGAAAGGUGCCCGUCAAGUGCYUGCAUUUGGCGGCGUUAUAGUCUCGAGCYGGYACCGUCGCCUAACAUACUGGUCGAUAUAAUUGCUCCGAUCGGAGUUGAACUGCGUUUGCCUAUGAUGGUUAGUCGUUGUUUAGAGACGUUCUUUGCGUAUCUUCGGGUGCGAAAAGCCGUUUCGACAAUGGCGGCUAGCUGUUGUUUGCGUUACGUGGUGGAACUGUGGCGCGAGUAGGUCGGUGUCCAUCUGACCCGUCUUGAAACACGGACCAAGGAGCCUAUCAUAUACGCGAGUCGCUCGGUCUUGUUUAGGCCUGGGAGGCGUAAUGAAAGUAAAGUUACGAGAUCGUAAGAUCGCAGUAACGGCCCGCCUACUUCGUUUAUUGGCGAUCAGGCGGAGCUGGAGCGUAUACGAUGGUACCCGAAAGAUGGUGAACUAUGCCUGGGCAAGACGAAGCCAGAGGAAACUCUGGUGGAGGUCUGUAGCGAUUCUGACGUGCAAAUCGAUCGUCAGACCUGGGUAUAGGGGCGAAAGACUAAUCGAACCAUCUAGUAGCUGGUUCCCUCCGAAGUUUCCCUCAGGAUAGCAGGCGCUUAUUURUUGUGAUAGUCUCAUCCGGUAAAGCUAAUGAUUAGAGGUCUUGGGGUUGAAACGACCUCAACCUAUUCUCAAACUUUAAAUGGGUGAGAUGGUCGACUUUCUUGAUUGAAGCCGACCAUUCGGAUAGAAGUGCCUAGUGGGCCAUUUUUGGUAAGCAGAACUGGCGCUGUGGGAUGAACCAAACGUCGAGAUAAGGCAUCAAAUGCGUACGCUCAUCAGACCCCAUAAAAGGUGUUGGUUGCUAUAGACAGCAGGACGGUGGMCAUGGAAGUCGGAAUCC
rnacentral:rRNA from 1 species